AUGGUGAGAAGUGAAACUUACUUGCCAUGCUACUCACCAGAGGAGCAAUCAUAUGGUUUCCUGGUAUCUGUGGAGUACUUUCACAUCCAGGAUGGUAAAAAUUACAGAACAUUGUGGCUGCACAGGAGAAAGACCUUUAUCCAACUUCUGGCAUCUCCACUCACUGGGACUACACAGCUAUUGUAGUAGAUGCUGGCAGAAGCCUGUACAUCCCUGAGUCUUGAAAGUCAGAUGAUGGCUGUAUGAAUCCCAUUCUGCUCUUAGGUCUGGAAGGGUACCCAUAGGCAAUACAAGAUGACUUCAGUUCAUACUGUCCCUGGUUCUUGCAUUGCUGCACUAGAUUUAAAUAAUAAAAAUAAUAAAUUACAACAGAAUCUAUAUAUAGACAAAGUUUCUAGUCAUCCCCUUGCAGCUCAGAAAAAAAAGUGUCCCCAGUGCAAGCAGAAAGAAGGAAGUAUGUUCCACCUAUGACUUGAAGAAGUAACACAGUGCUAUGGAAAAUAAAAUUUACAGUUGCAGCUUCAGUUCCUGUUUUCUCCUGCUGCAGAGGGAGUGCCUGCUGGAUUUAGGGAGACAAUUAGGAAUAUCAUAGUGAUUAGCGUAUCUUCUUUGCCAAAUCUCCACCAUGGCCUGAGUUCCAGGGCCUGGCUUAUGGGCCUGUUGAAUUUAAGAAAGCCAAACAUUUCCUUGCAAUGACUUCCUUCCAUGCUCAUGUAUCCCCAAGAGCAGGACUUCUUGUCAAGCACUUCAUGUGUUUGAAGUGCAGUACUCCUAAAAGCAGGUGGAUCUGGAUUUUAGAAAUAAUUAAAAUCUUGUGGUGACUGAAAAGGUUUCCUCCAUUGGCCUCAUGGGCACUUGCAAAGUUGAAGCUUUCCUGCAGAGCAGCUUCACUUUCUGUACAAGGGGUAGCAAAACUGGGAUGGCAGGCAGGAGAUGCUGAGAUCUUGUCCUGUACUCUGGCAUUGCACACUGGUUUUUGCUGUUGAUCUCCUUUUGACGUGACAUGAAGUCUUCAACACUCAGUGUCUAAAUGUUUACAGUAUCUGUGUCUGCUAGAUAUAUUGGAUUGCUUUUACUGUUAUUAAAAUUAGAAUAAUCAGUUCCAACAGGAAGCUGACCAGAUGUCCUCAUUUAAUCAGAACAGAUCCCCUUUUUUCACGUAAUAUCCAGCUGUCCUAAUACUUUUCAGAGUAGACCCAUUAAUCUCAGUUUUCGUUGCAGUGAAAUUCUUGAUAGCUGUCAAGAAAUGCUCACUAAUAAUUGUCUGAUCCCUUCAUACUGUUUAAUGCUCAGAACUUUUCUUAAUAAGCAAAGAAAAUCAUAUUCUAUUUGCAAGGAAAUGCUUCAGUCUCACCCCUAGUGUAAAAUAUUUUCAAGAGAAUUCAUUAUGAAAGUAUUUUUGGAUUAAUUUAAUUUGUACACUAUUUUCUCAGACUGUAGGAAGCAGUUGGAAUGUUGUCUGGCAGAAUGUGUAGGGGAGAGAAAAUACACAUUUCUACAUAUGGG
rnacentral:lncRNA from 1 species